rnacentral:rRNA from 1 species
GACGAACGCUGGCGGCGUGCUUAACACAUGCAAGUCGAACGGAAAGGCCCGGCUUUUGUGGGUUGCUCGAGUGGCGAACGGGGGAGUAACACGUGAGUAACAUGCCCUUGACUGAGGGAUAACUUCAGGAAACUGGGGCUAAUACCGGAGAGGAUCUCCUGCUGCAUGGUGGGGGUUGGAAAGUUUCGGCGGUUGGGGAUGGACUCGCGGCUUAUCAGCUUGUUGGUGGGGUAGUGGCGUACCAAGGCUUUGACGGGUAGCCGGCCUGAGAGGGUGACCGGCCACCUUGGGACUGAGAUACGCACCAGAAUGCUACGGGAGGCAGCAGGCGGGAGUCUUGCGCAAUGGGCGGAAGCCUGAUGCAGCAACGCUGGGAGCGGGAUGACGGCCUUUGGGUUGUAAACCGCUUUCGACUUAGCUGAAGCGUGAGUGACGGUAAUGGGUCAAGAAGCACCGGCUAACUACGUG